GAUAAACGCUGGCGGCGUGCCUUAUGCAUGCAAGUCGGACGAUCCGCCGCAAGGCGGAUAGUGGCAGACGGGUGAGUAAUACGUAAGUGACCUACCCCUGAGUGGGGAAUAACCUCGAGAAAUUGGGGCUAAUACCGCAUAAAGCGCUGAGGGUAAAGCUUCGGCGUUAAAGCCGCAAGGCGCUUGGGGUUGGGCUUGCGUCCUAUCAGGUAGUUGGGAGGGUAAUGGCCUACCAAGCCGAUGACGGGUAGCUGGUCUGAGAGGAUAUCCAGCCACACUGGGACUGAGAUACGGCCCAGACUCCUACGGGAGGCAG
rnacentral:rRNA from 1 species